GUAGGGAAUAUUGGGCAAUGGACGCAAGUCUGACCCAGCCAUGCCGCGUGCAGGAUGAAGGCGUUAUGCGUCGUAAACUGCUUUUAUACAGGAAGAAACGACUCUUGCGAGAGGCAUUGACGGUACUGUAUGAAUAAGCACCGGCUAACUCCGUGCCAGCAGCCGCGGUAAUACGGAGGGUGCAAGCGUUGUCCGGAUUUAUUGGGUUUAAAGGGUGCGCAGGUGGUUUAUUAAGUCAGUGGUGAAAGACGGUCGCUCAACGAUUGCAGUGCCAUUGAAACUAGUAGACUUGAGUAAAGUAGAGGUGGGCGGAAUUGAUAGUGUAGCGGUGAAAUGCAUAGAUAUUAUCAAGAACUCCAAUUGCGUAGGCAGCUCACUUGGCUUUUACUGACACUCAUGCACGAAAGUGUGGGUAUCAAACAGGAUUAGAUACCC
rnacentral:rRNA from 1 species